GAUGAACGCUGGCGGCGUGCCUAAUACAUGCAAGUCGAGCGAACGGACGAGAAGCUUUCUUCUCUGAUGUUAGCGGCGGACGGGUGAGUAACACGUGGAUAACCUACCUAUAAGACUGGGAUAACUUCGGGAAACCGGAGCUAAUACCGGCUAAUAUUUUGAACCGCAUGGUUCAAAAGUGAAAGGCGGUCUUGCUGUCACUUAUAGAUGGAUCCGCGCUGCAUUAGCUAGUUGGUAAGGUAACGGCUUACCAAGGCAACGAUGCAUAGCCGACCUGAGAGGGUGAUCGGCCACACUGGAACUGAGACACGGUCCAGACUCCUACGGGAGGCAGCAGUAGGGAAUCUUGCGCAAUGGGCGAAAGCCUGAUGGAGCAACGCCGCGUGAGUGAUGAAGGUCUUCGGAUCGUAAAACUCUGUUAUUAGGGAAGAACAUAUGUGUAAGUAUCUGUGCACGUCUUGACGGUACCCAAUCAGAAAGCCACGGCUAACUACGUG
rnacentral:rRNA from 1 species